rnacentral:rRNA from 1 species
UACGUAGGGGGCAAGCGUUGUCCGGAUUUAUUGGGCGUAAAGAGCGUGUAGGCGGCCAUGCAGGUCCGUUGUGAAAACUCGAGGCUCAACCUCGAGACGCCGAUGGAAACCGCAUGGCUAGAGUCCGGAAGAGGAGAGUGGAAUUCCUGGUGUAGCGGUGAAAUGCGCAGAUAUCAAGGAAGAACACCCGUGGCUAAGGCGGCUCCUCUAGUACGGUACUGACGCUGAGACGCGAAAGCGUGGGGAGCAAACAGG